rnacentral:rRNA from 1 species
GCGGUGUGCCUAAUGCAUGCAAGUCGAAUGGGAACUCUUGGAUUCGUCUGAGAGGGAGAGUGGCGAACGGGUGAGUAACACGUAGGUGACCUGCCCCGGAGAGGGGGACAACCAUUGGAAACGAUGGCUAAUACCCCAGAUGUCAAUCUAUUUGGAAAGGAUUGACUAAAGUUCCGGCGCUCCGGGAGGGGCCUGCGGCCCAUCAGCUAGUUGGUAGGGUAACGGCCUACCAAGGCGAAGACGGGUAGGGGGCGUGAGAGCGUGACCCCCCACACUGGUACUGAGACACGGACCAGAUACCUGCGGGUAGCAGCAGCAAGGAAUAUUGCCCAAUGGACGCAAGUCUGAGGCAGCAACACCGCGUGGAGGACGAAGGCUUUCGAGUUGUAAACUCCUUUUCUGGGGGAAGAGAAAGGACGGUACCCCAGGAAUAAGUCUCGGCUAACUACGUGCCAGCAGCCGCGGUAAAACGUAGGAGGCGAGCGUUAUCCGGAAUUACUGGGCGUAAAGCGCAUGCAGGCGGUCUUCUAAGUCGGACGUGAAAGCUCUCGGCUCAACUGAGAGAGGCCGUUCGAAACUGGGAGACUUGAGGUUGGUAGAGGUGAGUGGAAUUCCAGGUGUAGUGGUGAAAUGCGUAGAUAUCUCGAGGAACACCAGUGGCGAAGGCGGCUCACUGGGCCAUACCUGACGCUCAGAUGCGAAAGCUA